UACAGAGGGUGGGAGCGGUAAUCGGAAUUACUGGGCGUAAAGCGUGCGUAGACGGUCAUGUAAGUCGGGUGUGAAAUCCCCGGGCUCAACCUGGGAAUUGCAUUCGAGACUGCGUGGCUAGGGUGCGGAAGAGGGAAGCGGAAUUUCCGGUGUAGCGGUGAAAUGCGUAGAUAUCGGAAGGAACAUCAGUGGCGAAAGCGGCUUCCUGGUCCAGCACCGACUUUCAGGCACGAAAGCGUGGGGAGCAAACAGG
rnacentral:rRNA from 1 species